rnacentral:rRNA from 1 species
AGUGAACGCUGGCGGUAGGCCUAACACAUGCAAGUCGAACGGCAGCACAGGAGAGCUUGCUCUCUAGGUGGCGAGUGGCGGACGGGUGAGGAAUACAUCGGAAUCUGCCCAGUCGUGGGGGAUAACGUAGGGAAACUUACGCUAAUACCGCAUACGACCUUCGGGUGAAAGAGGGGGAUCGCAAGACCUCUCGCGAUUGGAUGAGCCGAUGUCGGAUUAGCUAGUUAGCGGGGUAAUGGCCCACCAAGGUGACGAUCCGUAGCUGGUCUGAGAGGAUGAUCAGCCACACUGGAACUGAGACACGGUCCAGACUCCUACGGGAGGCAGCAGUGGGGAAUAUUGGACAAUGGGCGCAAGCCUGAUCCAGCCAUACCGCGUGGGUGAAGAAGGCCUUCGGGUUGUAAAGCCCUUUUGUUGGGAAAGAAAUCUUUCAGGCUAAUACCCUGGGAGGAUGACGGUACCCAAAGAAUAAGCACCGGCUAACUUCGUG